rnacentral:rRNA from 1 species
GAGUUUGAUCGUGGCUCAGGAUGAACGCUGGCGGCGUGCCUAAUACAUGCAAGUCGAACGAACAGAUAAGGAGCUUGCUCCUUUGACGUUAGCGGCGGACGGGUGAGUAACACGUGGGUAACCUACCUAUAAGACUGGGAAUAACUCCGGGAAACCGGGGCUAAUGCCGGAUAACAUGUUGAACCGCAUGGUUCUACAGUGAAAGACGGUCUUGCUGUCACUUAUAGAUGGACCCGCGCCGUAUUAGCUAGUUGGUGGGGUAACGGCCUACCAAGGCGACGAUACGUAGCCGACCUGAGAGGGUGAUCGGCCACACUGGAACUGAGACACGGUCCAGACUCCUACGGGAGGCAGCAGUAGGGAAUCUUCCGCAAUGGGCGAAAGCCUGACGGAGCAACGCCGCGUGAGUGAUGAAGGUCUUCGGAUCGUAAAGCUCUGUUGUUAGGGAAGAACAAAUGUGUAAGUAACUGUGCAUAUCUUGACGGUACCUAACCAGAAAGCCACGGCUAACUACGUGCCAGCCGCCGCCGUAACA